rnacentral:rRNA from 1 species
UACGUAGGAGGCAAGCGUUAUCCGGAAUUACUGGGCGUAAAGCGCCCGCAGGCGGUUUGUUGGGUCUACCAUGACAGUUCCCGGCUCAACUGGGAAAGGAUGGUGGAAACCGACAAACUUGAGAGCGAGAGAGGGAUGUGGAAUUCCAGGAGGAGCAGUGAAAUGCGUAGAGAUCUGGAGGAACACCGAAGGCGAAGGCAGCAUCCUGGUUCGUAUCUGACGCUCAGGGGCGAAGGCCAGGGGAG